rnacentral:lncRNA from 10 species
UAUAGGAUCAUGGAGAAGACCUUCAAUUAUCAAUUACAGGUUUUAAAUUUACCCUGGCUUUUAAAGGAAUAGGGCACACUUUUCUUUUUACUAUUUCUAUCUUUUUCUUUCUUUCUCUUUGACUCCGUCUUUGUCUCUCUCUCUGUCUCUCUCUCUCUCUCUGUCUCUCUCUCUCCAUCUCUCUCUGUCUCUCUCUCUCUCUCUCUCCAUCUGUCUCUCUCUCUCCAUCUCUCUCUUAGCCAUUACAGACUUGGGCCCCUGGCAAGGGUGGUGGGGAAUGGGUCCCACAUAACUGCCCAUGUCGAGAGCUGUAUACCUAAAUCGGGAGGGACACCAGGGAUAAGACUCCCUGGGUUACAGCCUAGAUGCCUAAGGACACAGCAUAGAGCUUCCUGAGAUCCCUUUGGAGAUACAACUUGCUAGAGGAAAUGAAAGUCUGAACCAUUAGUACCUAGGACGCAAGGAUCAGAGGAAGUAGAUUCAGAGGUGCCCGGUAUUUUCCUCCAAUUCCAAGGAAGGAUAGGACAGAAUAGCAAGCGAAAGUGGUCCAAUAUUACUCACCGCUUUGGAGGUCACUUCGUGGUCACCAAAAUGUUACCUGAGGCCCUUGCUCACAGAGUUCCCAAGAUGGUGGCAAGCCGCUUCCAAGAUGGUGGUGGGCCGCUUCCAAGAUGGUGGCAAGCUUUGUGUUCUCUGACCCGGGAUUCUUGGCCUCACGGAUUCCAAGGAAUGGAAUCUUGGAUCAUGCACAACUACAAAGAAAUAGGAAGAAGAGGAAGAAGAAGAAGAAGAAGAAGAAGAGGAAGAGGAAGAGGAAGAGGAAGAAGAAGAAGAAGAAGAAAAAGUAGUUGUUGUUUAUUGAGAGCGUGCUGGCAAAUCAGGAGGGGUUUAAUCAUCUGAAGACUCUGCUAAUUGAUUUACAUUUCAUUCUCCAUCAUCUUAAUCUUCCUACUAGAAAAACAACAAAAUGUAAUUCUACAAUAGUGAACAGUUUUUUUAUUCUUAUGUAUUUAUACCUCACCUUAUUUCAUAAAAGACUUCAGGUUAUUAAAGGUACUCCAUUGUAAACCAACAUAGGGCCUGGAGAAAGCACAAAACAUCUUUCAUGUGAGCAUAAAAAUGUCCUGCUUAAGUCCUUUAAUCCAUUCCAUCCUAAUAAUAUGACUUAUCAACCUGCUCAUGUUGAACUAGAAUCAUUAAUUAUUGAUGUUCUUUUUGUAGUUUUAAAUGAAAAAAUGGUUAACUUCUUAAAUAUUUGUAAAACUAUAAACAAAGUAGCUAAAAUACAGAGUAUUAAGGCUAUUAUUUGGCUCCUUAAGGUAAAUGGAUUGUAGACUUAGAACAGCUAUCACAUUGCAAGUUACGAAUCCUGAUUUUUGGCUGCUGUUAAAAUGUCUAUUUGUGCUAUUCACUCUAAUUUCCCGUUUGAAUAAUGCAUAGUGGGCAUUAGAAAAAAAAAAUUUUAAUGUUAAUAAUGGCAAGGGAUUGUCUGAAUUCUAUCAGUCACCAAUAAUCUUAAUUACAUCAGAGCAGUACUCUAUUAUUACAAAAAAUGUUUAUCUGUUUUAUUUCUUUAGAAUUUAUAAUAAAUUCAUUUUUAUUAAUUAGUUAUUUAGAAAAUUAUAUAGUUAGUUCAAAUAGAUAACAUAAACUAUGCCCUUCCAUUGACAAAAUUGUAAUUGAAAUAGUAAAGUUGCCCAAUUCAUUCAGUCAAAUAUUUAGCCUGUGUUUUCAAUCAUAGUGACUGAAUGUGUGUGUGUGUGGUUUCAACUAAUCCUAUAGUAUAUAGUUUGUUUAUAAGAUGGUGUGACCUAUAAACUAGAAUUAUUUGUUACCCCAGUUUUUUCUCCAUAUAGCCAGGUUUCAAUUCUGGAUUUAUUAUUUGAAUAUAUAAAAACAAAAUAAAAUCAUUUUGUUUUUAUAAACACAGUCCUAAUCACAUAACCUUCUACAAUGGAGUUAAGAAGUUAUGGACAAGGGCCAAAUUCAGCUCUC